rnacentral:rRNA from 1 species
AGGAAAUAGAUACCCGGGUAGUCCACGCCCUAAACGAUGUCGACUAGGUGUUCGGUGAGGAGACUCAUUGAGUACCGCAGCUAAACGCGUGAAGUCGACCGCCUGGGGAGUACGGUCGCAAGAUUAAAACUCAAAGGAAUUGACGGGGACCCGCACAAGCGGUGGAUGAUGUGGAUUAAUUCGAUGCAACGCGAAAACCUUACCUACCCUUGACAUGUACGGAACCCUGCUGAGAGGUGGGGGUGCUCGAAAGAGAGCCGUAACACAGGUGCUGCAUGGCUGUCGUCAGCUCGUGUCGUGAGAUGUUGGGUUAAGUCCCGCAACGAGCGCAACCCUUGUCAUUAGUUGCUACGCAAGAGCACUCUAAUGAGACUGCCGGUGACAAACCGGAGGAAGGUGGGGAUGACGUCAAGUCCUCAUGGCCCUUAUGGGUAGGGCUUCACACGUCAUACAAUGGUCGGUACAGAGGGUUUGCCAAGCCGCGAGGUGGAGCCAAUCCCAGAAAGCCGAUCGUAGUCCGGAUCGCAGUCUGC